rnacentral:tRNA from 1 species
GGGUAAUUAGUCCAAACAAGACAACUGAUUUCGGCUUAGUAGAUUGUGGUUUAACCCCACAGUUACCCU